ACCUGGGUGGCUCAGUCGGCUGAGCGUCUGACUCCCCCUUGGGUCAUGAUCUCACAGUUUGUGGGUUCGAGCCCCACAUCAGGCU
rnacentral:tRNA from 1 species